UACGGGGGGGGCAAGCGUUGUUCGGAAUUACUGGGCGUAAAGGGCUCGUAGGCGGCCAACUAAGUCAGACGUGAAAUCCCCAGGCUUAACCUGGGAACUGCGUCUGAUACUGGAUGGCUUGAGAUUGGGAGAGGGAUGCGGAAUUCCAGGUGUAGCGGUGAAAUGCGUAGAUAUCUGGAGGAACACCGGUGGCGAAGGCGGCAUCCUGGACCAAUAUUGACGCUGAGGAGCGAAAGCCAGGGGAGCAAACGGG
rnacentral:rRNA from 1 species